ACUUAGGUGGCUGAGACAAGCAUUAGAUUUUUGAUUUAACCACACUUUCGAGUUCUAAGUG
rnacentral:tRNA from 1 species